GUGCUUUGUGGUAGCACAUAUACUAAAAUCAGAAUGAUAUAGAGAAGAUCUGCAUCCUGCACCAGGAUGACACAAGAAGUGUAGGAGUAGGAAGAGAAGAAA